UGUUCUAACGUGGACCCGUAAUCCGGGUUGCGGACAGUGUCUGGUGGGUAGUUUGACUGGGGCGGUCUCCUCCUAAAGAGUAACGGAGGAGCACGAAGGUUGGCUAAUCCUGGUCGGACAUCAGGAGGUUAGUGCAAUGGCAUAAGCCAGCUUGACUGCGAGCGUGACGGCGCGAGCAGGUGCGAAAGCAGGUCAUAGUGAUCCGGUGGUUCUGAAUGGAAGGGCCAUCGCUCAACGGAUAAAAGGUACUCCGGGGAUAACAGGCUGAUACCGCCCAAGAGUUCAUAUCGACGGCGGUGUUUGGCACCUCGAUGUCGGCUCAUCACAUCCUGGGGCUGAAGUAGGUCCCAAGGGUAUGGCUGUUCGCCAUUUAAAGUGGUACGCGAGCUGGGUUUAGAACGUCGUGAGACAGUUCGGUCCCUAUCUGCCGUGGGCGCUGGAGAACUGAGGGGGGCUGCUCCUAGUACGAGAGGACCGGAGUGGACGCAUCACUGGUGUUCGGGUUGUCAUGCCAAUGGCACUGCCCGGUAGCUAAAUGCGGAAGAGAUAAGUGCUGA
rnacentral:rRNA from 1 species